CGAACGCUGGCGGCGUGGAUAAGACAUGCAAGUCGAGCGCUGAUUUGGAGGUAGCAAUAUUUUCAAGUCGGAGCGGCGCAAGGGUGCGUAACACGUGGGAAUCUGCCUUGAAGUGUGGGAUAACUCCGAGAAAUCGGAGCUAAUACCGCAUGUGAUCGUAAGAUCAAAGUUGGGGAUCGCAAGACCUGACGCUUCAAGAUGAGCCCGCGGCCUAUCAGCUAGUUGGUGAGGUAACGGCUCACCAAGGCUAAGACGGGUAGCUGGUCUGAGAGGACGACCAGCCACACUGGAACUGAGACACGGUCCAGACACCUACGGGUGGCAGCAGUCGAGAAUUUUUCUCAAUGGGGGAAACCCUGAAGGAGCGACGCCGCGUGGAGGAUGAAGGUCUUCGGAUUGUAAACUCCUGUCAUUUGGGAACAAUUGUUGGCGAUUAACUGUCGUCAGCUUGAUAGUACCAGAAGAGGAAGAGACGGCUAACUCUGUGCCAGCAGCCGCGGUAAUACAGAGGUCUCAAGCGUUGUUCGGAUUCAUUGGGCGUAAAGGGUGCGUAGGUGGCGCCGUAAGUCAGGUGUGAAAUCUCGGGGCUCAACCCCGAAACUGCACUUGAUACUGCGGUGCUCGAGUACUGGAGAGGAGAUUGGAAUUUACGGUGUAGCAGUGAAAUGCGUAGAUAUCGUAAGGAAGACCAGUGGCGAAGGCGAAUCUCUGGACAGUUACUGACACUGAGGCACGAAGGCCAGGGGAGCAAACGGGAUUAGAUACCCCGGUAGUCCUGGCAGUAAACGGUGCGCGUUUGGUGUGGGAGGAUUCGACCCCUUCUGUGCCGGAGCUAACGCGUUAAACGCGCCGCCUGGGGAGUACGGUCGCAAGAUUAAAACUCAAAGAAAUUGACAGGGGC
rnacentral:rRNA from 1 species